rnacentral:rRNA from 1 species
GGGGAAUAUUGGACAAUGGGCGAAAGCCUGAUCCAGCCAUGCCGCGUGUGUGAAGAAGGUCUUCGGAUUGUAAAGCACUUUAAGUUGGGAGGAAGGGUUGUAACCUAAUACGUUGCAAUUUUGACGUUACCGACAGAAUAAGCACCGGCUAACUUCGUGCCAGCAGCCGCGGUAAUACGAAGGGUGCAAGCGUUAAUCGGAAUUACUGGGCGUAAAGCGCGCGUAGGUGGUUCAGCAAGUUGAAUGUGAAAGCCCUGGGCUCAACCUGGGAACGGCCUUUGUGACUGCAUAGCUAGAGUACGGUAGAGGGGGAUGGAAUUCCGCGUGUAGCAGUGAAAUGCGUAGAUAUGCGGAGGAACACCGAUGGCGAAGGCAAUCCCCUGGACCUGUACUGACGCUCAUGCACGAAAGCGUGGGGAGCAAACA